rnacentral:misc_RNA from 1 species
AAAAAAGCAAAAGUAAGAAAGAGAGAGAAAAAAAAUCAUUAAUAAAAGUCUCCGGCACCGGCAAUGUCGUCGGUACCGACUCACCGGCGAGCAGAGUACUGUUGAGUUGAGCUGAAAAAGGAAGAAGGAAAUGCGUGAAACUGUGAAAAAACCUUGUGUUGUUGCUGCUGCUACUGUUGUUGUUGCUGUUGCUACUACUAUGACGAAGAAAACUAGUCCGGAAGAAGAUGGGGACGUGAUAAUCAUCCCUCCGUUGUGUACAUCAGCUAAUCGGUCAAGAUUACAAGCUGGGUCACGUCGCAUUACGCCGACGAAUGAUGAUAUGGCUGAGCUCCGGCAGCUGCCGAACGGAGAUCUGUAUACUGGGACAUUUUUGGGAAAAGUGCCUCAUGGUAAUGGGAAGUAUUUAUGGUCUGAUGGGUGUAUGUAUGAAGGUGAGUGGAGAAGAGGGAAGGCGAGUGGUAAAGGGAAGUUUUCGUGGCCUUCAG